rnacentral:sRNA from 1 species
AGACGUGACGGUGAUCUUGCUUCUGCCACCCCAGUGACCACCAGGGUUGAUUCAGCUGACCUGGCUGGCUAGACGUUGUCCCCUUUUCUACUCACUGGUCCACUUGUGUCUCUCCCAAAACUGCAUACUCAUUCUAAGAGGACUCCCUUACCUGAGAGAGGUCCAUUCUUCAGUCAAGGGUUUAUGCACUCCCCUGCUCGAACCUCCAGAGAAGCUCCAAGGACCUGACUGUCUUCAUGCUAAGUCAGGCAUCUAUUGUU